GAUGAACGCUGGCGGCGUGCCUAAUACAUGCAAGUCGAACGCUGAAGGAAGGAGCUUGCUCUUUCCGGAUGAGUUGCGAACGGGUGAGUAACGCGUAGGUAACCUGCCUGGUAGCGGGGGAUAACUAUUGGAAACGAUAGCUAAUACCGCAUAACAGUAGAUGUUGCAUGAUAUCUACUUAAAAGGUGCAAUUGCACCACUACCAGAUGGACCUGCGUUGUAUUAGCUAGUUGGUGAGGUAACGGCUCACCAAGGCGACGAUACAUAGCCGACCUGAGAGGGUGAUCGGCCACACUGGGACUGAGACACGGCCCAGACUCCUACGGGAGGCAGCAGUAGGGAAUCAUCGGCAAUGGACGGAAGUCUGACCGAGAAACGCCGCGUGAGGGAAGAAGGUUGUCGGAUCGUAAAGCUCUGUUGUAAGAGAAGAACGAGUGUGAGAGUGGAAAGUUCACACUGUGACGGUAUCUUACCAGAAAGGGACGGCUAACUACGUG
rnacentral:rRNA from 1 species